AGCAUUGUUGAUGAGGAGCAUUUGACAUUACAAGAUGUCGAAGAAGCCGUACUGGAUUAUCCAGAUGCAGUCACAACUGUUGCAGCUGCAGUAGCAGUUGAAGCUGAUUCCGAAACAAGAAGAAGUUUGCCAGUUUCUACAAAAAGGAAGCCAAAUCCUAAAAAAAGAACAGCAGAGCUCGGUGUGCGGAAAUCCAUUAUCACAUGCCCUACAACUGACGCUGCUUCGAGCAAUCGAAAAAACAGGCAACGUAUGCAGUAUGCAGCUUGAAAACACGCGUGAACAAUUCACCAACAUAGCACAAAGUAACGCCUCUGCAUUGAAGAUAAUAGCUGAAUCUAUUGAACGACUUGCGACGGUAGAAGAGAGAAGAGUCGCAAUCGAAGAGAGAAGAACGAGGUCAGAAGAAAUGUCUCUGCAGUUAUUAAAAAAUAUAUCAGAAUAUAUAAAAUAUUUCUGUGAAAAAUAAGAGGGU